rnacentral:rRNA from 1 species
GAUGAACGCUGGCGGCGUGCCUAAUACAUGCAAGUCGAGCGAACAGACGAGGAGCUUGCUCCUCUGACGUUAGCGGCGGACGGGUGAGUAACACGUGGAUAACCUACCUAUAAGACUGGGAUAACUUCGGGAAACCGGAGCUAAUACCGGAUAAUAUAUUGAACCGCAUGGUUCAAUAGUGAAAGACGGUUUUGCUGUCACUUAUAGAUGGAUCCGCGCCGCAUUAGCUAGUUGGUAAGGUAACGGCUUACCAAGGCGACGAUGCGUAGCCGACCUGAGAGGGUGAUCGGCCACACUGGAACUGAGACACGGUCCAGACUCCUACGGGAGGCAGCGGUAGGGAAUCUUCCGCAAUGGGCGAAAGCUUGACGGAGCAACGCCGCGUGAGUGAUGAAGGUCUUCGGAUCGUAAAACUCUGUUAUUAGGGAAGAACAAAUGUGUAAGUAACUAUGCACGUCUGGACGGUACCUAAUCAGAAAGCCACGGCUAACUACGU